rnacentral:rRNA from 1 species
AUUGCCCCAGUAACGGCGAGUGAAGCGGCAAUAGCUCAAAUUUGAAAUCUGGCUCUUUUAGGGUCCGAGUUGUAAUUUGCAGAGGGCGCUUUGGCGUUGGCAGCGGUCCAAGUUCUUUGGAACAGGACGUCACAGAGGGUGAGAAUCCCGUACGUGGUCGCUAUCCUUCGCCGUGUAAAGCCCCUUCGACGAGUCGAGUUGUUUGGGAAUGCAGCUCUAAAUGGGAGGUAAAUUUCUUCUAAAGCUAAAUACUGGCCAGAGACCGAUAGCGCACAAGUAGAGUGAUCGAAAGAUGAAAAGCACUUUGGAAAGAGAGUCAAAUAGCACGUGAAAUUGUUGAAAGGGAAGCGCUUGCAGCCAGACUUGCCUGUAGUUGCUUAUCCAGACUUUUGUCUGGUGCACUCUUCUGCGGGCAGGCCAGCAUCAGUUUGGGCGGUUAGAUAAAGGUCUCUGUCAUGUACCUCUCUUCGGGGAGGCCUUAUAGGGGAGACGACAUGUAACCAGCCUGGACUGAGGUCCGCGCAUCUGCUAGGAUGCUGGCGUAAUGGCUGUAAGCGGCCCGUCUUGAAACACGGACCAAGGAGUCUAACAUCUAUGCGAGUGUUUGGGUGUCAAGCCCAGACGCGUAAUGAAAGUGAACGGAGGUAAGAACCCUUUGGGUGCAUUAUCGACCGAUCCUGAUGUCUUCGGAAGGAUUUGAGUAAGAGCAUGGCUGUUGGGACCCGAAAGAUGGUGAACUAUGCUUGAAUAGGGUGAAGCCAGAGGAAACUCUGGUGGAGGCUCGCAGCGGUUCUGACGUGCAAAUCGAUCGUCAAAUUUGGGCAUAGGGGCGAAAGACUAAUCG